rnacentral:rRNA from 1 species
GACGUAGGGCGCGAGCGUUGUCCGGAUUUAUUGGGCGUAAAGAGCUCGUAGGCGGCUUGUCGCGUCGACUGUGAAAACCCGCGGCUCAACUGCGGGCCUGCAGCCGAUACGGGCAGGCUAGAGUUCGGUAGGGGAGACUGGAAUUCCUGGUGUAGCGGUGAAAUGCGCAGAUAUCUGGAGGAACACCGGUGGCGAAGGCGGCAUCCUGGACCGGCAUUGACGCUGAGGCGCGAAAGCCAGGGGAGCAAACGGG